UACAGAGGGUGCAAGCGUUAAUCGGAAUUACUGGGCGUAAAGCGUGCGCAGACGGUUGCGUAAGUCAGAUGUGAAAGCCCGCGGCUCAACCGCGGAUUGUCGUUGGAAACUGCCUCGCUAGAGUCCGGAAGAGGAGAGCGGAAUUCCUGGUGUAGCGGUGGAAUGCGCAGAUAUCAGGAAGAACACCCGUGGCGAAGGCGGCUCUCUGGGACGGUACUGACGCUGAGACGCGAAAGCGUGGGGAGCGAACAGG
rnacentral:rRNA from 1 species